rnacentral:rRNA from 1 species
AUGCAGGUCCUUUACAGGUCUUGCAAUUGGAAUGAGUACAAUGUAAACCACUUAACGAGUAGCAAUUGGAGGAUAAGUCUGGUGCCAGCACCCGCGGUAAUUCCAGCUCCAAUAGCGUAUAUUAAAGUUGUUGCAGUUAAAAAAGCUCGUAGUUGGACUUUGGGCGCGUCGGUUCGCGCGAUCCGUCGAAAUGACGUGUGUCGCCGCUGCGCGCCCUUUCUUUCCACUGUGGUCCGGUGCCAUUCAGUUGGUGCCGGGUGCUGCGUGGAAUCAUUUACUUUGAAAAAAUUAGAGUGUUCAAAGCAGGCGAGUUUCGGCCGUUGAAUAGUUCAGCAUGGGAUAAUAAAAUAGGACUUUCAUCUUAUUUUGUUGGUUUUGUAGAUGAAGGUAAUGAUUAACAGGGACAGUUGGGGAUAUCAGUAUUUAAUUGUCAGAGGUGAAAUUCUUGGAUUUAUGAAAGACUAACUACUGCGAAAGCAUUUAUCAAGGAUGUUUUCAUUAAUCAAGAACGAAAGUUAGGGGAUCGAAGAUGAUCAGAUACCGUCGUAGUCUUAACCGUAAACUAUGCCGACCAGGGAUUCGGGGCCGUUAUAUGGAUGACUCUCCGAGCACCUUACGAGAAAUCACAAGUUUUUGGGUUCUGGGGGGAGUAUGGUCGCAAGGCUGAAACUUAAAGGAAUUGACGGAAGGGCACCACCAGGAGUGGAGCUUGCGGCUUAAUUUGACCCAACACGGGGAAACUCACCAGGUCCAGACACAAGAAGGAUUGACAGAUUGAGAGCUCUUUCUUGAUUUUGUGGGUGGUGGUGCAUGGCCGUUCUUAGUUGGUGGAGUGAUUUGUCUGGUUAAUUCCGUUAACGAACGAGACCUUAACCUACUAAAUAGUUACGCAAACCUUCUUUACAAAGCGGUGAAGCGGCUGUGCGUGUUGUGCUCUAGCGGGCGCAGCCGCCGGUUGUGGAUCCGUUGAAGGUGUUUAGCGGCUACACUUCUUAGAGGGACUAGUCGUAUCUAGCGACUGGAAGUUUGAGGCAAUAACAGGUCUGUAAUGCCCUUAGAUGUCCUGGGCUGCACGCGUGCUACACUGAUGAAUUCAACGAGUAUGACACCUUGGCCGGAAGGUCUGGGUAAUCUUCUGAAUCUUCAUCGUGAUGGGGAUAGAUCAUUGGAAUUAUUGAUCUUCAACGAGGAAUUCCUAGUAAGCGCAGCUCAUCAGGCUGCGUUGAUUACGUCCCUGCCCUUUGUACACACCGCCCGUCGCUCCUACCGAUGGGUGAUCCGGUGAGAACUUGGGAUAGAGGCACAAUGGUGUGGGGCAACCCGCGCCGUGCAUGCUAAAACUUGUUCAAACCUUAUCAUCUAGAGGAAGGAGAAGUCGUAACAAGGUAUCCGUAGGUGAACCUGCGGAUG